UCAGAAAGCAUGACAGCUCAAUAGUGUGGUAUCUUGAGUGGGUUCCUGAAAUAGAAAAAAGACAUUAGUCAUUCAGUGGUGUCUGACUCUUUGCGACCCAUGGACUGCAGCCUGCCAUGCUCCUCUGUCCAUGGGGAUUCUCCAGGCAAGAAUACUGGAUUGGGUUGCCAUGCCCUCCUCCAGGGGAUCUUCCCAUCCAGGGAUCGGACCCAGGUCUCCCACAUUGCAGGCAGAUUCUUUACUGACUGAGCCACCAGGGAAGCCUCCUUUGAGAUCCAACCAGUCCGUUCUGAAGGAGAUCAGCCCUGGGAUUUCUUUGGAAGGAAUGAUGCUAAAGCUGAAACUCCAGUACUUUGGCCACCUCAUGCGAAGAGUUGACUCAUUGGAAAAGACUCUGAUGCUGGGAGGGAUUGGGGGCAGGAGGAGAAGGGGACGACAGAGGAUGAGAUGGCUGGAUGGCAUCACUGACUCGAUGGACGUGAGUCUGAGUGAACUCUGGGAGUUGGUGAUGGACAGGGAGGCCUGGUGUGCUGCGAUUCAUGGGGUCACAAAGAGUCGGACAUGACUGAGCGACUGAACUGAACUGAACUGAAAGAUAUAUUAUUCACAAAUAUUUUCUCUUAUUCUGUGGUUUGUCUUUUCACUUUCUUAAUAG
ensembl:lncRNA